CAGUAGCCGCGGGAAUACGAAGGGUGCAAGCGUUACUCGGAAUUACUGGGCGUAAAGCGCGCGUAGGCGGUUUGUUAAGUCUGUUGUGAAAUCCCCGGGCUCAACCUGGGAAUGGCAAUGGAUACUGGCAAGCUAGAGUGUGUCAGAGGAUGGUGGAAUUCCCUGUGUAGCGGUGAAAUGCGUAGAGAUCGGGAGGAACAUCAGUGGCGAAGGCGGCCAUCUGGGACAACACUGACGCUGAGGCACGAAAGCGUGGGGAGCAAACAGGAUUAGAGACCCCUGUAGUCCCUGUCUCUUAUAC
rnacentral:rRNA from 1 species